rnacentral:rRNA from 1 species
GUGCCAGCCGCCGCGGUAAUACGGAGGGUGCAAGCGUUGUCCGGAAUCACUGGGCGUAAAGGGUGCGCAGGCGGGGCAGCAAGCCGGAGGUGAAAGCCCGUGGCUCAACCACGGAAGUGCCUUCGAAACUGUUGCUCUUGGGUCCCGGAGAGGUUGCCGGAAUUCGUGGUGUAGCGGUGAAAUGCGUAGAUAUCACGAGGAGCUCCAGAGGCGAAAGCGGGCAACUGGACGGGUACUGACGCUCAGGCACGAAAGCGCGGGGAGCAAACAGGAUUAGAAACCCGUGUAGUCC